UACGUAGGGUGCAAGCGUUGUCCGGAAUUAUUGGGCGUAAAGAGCUCGUAGGCGGUUUGUCGCGUCUGCUGUGAAAACCCCAGGGCUUAACCCUGGGCCUGCAGUGGGUACGGGCAAACUAGAGUGCGGUAGGGGGAGAUCGGAAUUCCUGGUGUAGCGGUGAAAAUGCGCAGAUAUCAGGAGGAACACCGGUGGCGAAGGCGGAUCUCUGGGCCGUAACUGACGCUGAGGAGCGAAAGCAUGGGUAGCGAACAGG
rnacentral:rRNA from 1 species